GCCGGACGGAGGGGGCGAAGUGCGACCGCCGGUAGGCGGAGGCCCGGGCGGCCUAGAGGUGGCUCCUCCGGGUCCUCGACCAGGGCCUGGGAUGUGAAUGGAUGCGCGUCUCUGCUCAAGGCUGCACCGGUCCUGGUCGCCUCUAAACUGUCCGCCCUCAUGGGCUUGAAAGCACCUCUGCAGACCCACAAGGUCCAAGGCACUGGAGGAAGACCAGGACCCUGCUCUCUGUGCGAUAGACCGAUUUAAACAAGCAAGCAAGCUCUGCUGAGGUCUGGCUCAUUGCUCCCACCACGUCACCAGGCCACCACGCCACACAGCUUUCCUGUUGCUGAAGUCCAUUUAGCAUCCCCUUUGAACUCUGGUUAAAAUGCCUGAGGCCAAGGAUUGAGAGAGUCAGCUGCGGUCUAACAGAACCCCCCAGUCUGAGAUAAGAAGACAGCUUAGGGGAGAAUGAAGAUGGCAGUGCAGGUUAUUUCUCAUCUGGGGGAAAGUCCUCUGAUAACAGCCGUGUGAUUGCACUCUCAUUGGCCUUCCAACAGCUGCUGCCAAAGGGGCUGGUCCUGCUCUAGUCAGACGCUGACUGGCCUCGGGGUGGGGUGGGGAGGUGCUGCCAGUGCUGGUGGUGCAGGAGGAGGUGGCAUGAGUCUGAGUCAUAGUCAUUCCUGAACAGGAAGCAGGAGGAGCUCAGAUUCUCCUCCUGGGGGUCAGAGAUAGAAUCCAGAGGCCAAAGACAGAGGGGGUGUUUUAUCCAUUUCCCCUUAGUGCACAGCAGCCCAACUUCCAACUGCCAGCUGCUGCCACUCUGCCUGAGGGCAGUUCUCUGGCCACUGAAGCCCACUUUGCACACCUGUGUGGCAGGCUGCAGGUGUCCAAGAAUUACUGCCCCUCCCCUUGCUUCAUCUCCACUAGCCUUCAACCAAUGACUCAUGGAAGUUAGUGUAUAAAUACCAAAGCUCCUCUCCCUUGGGUGGGAUACCUGAGUGUGAGUCUAUACUGGCUCACAGGAUCACAACCGAGCUCCAGUCGUCCCCAGGGUAGAUGGCUGGAUAAUGUCCCCAUUUCUGUGUGCCUUUCCCAUACUGUUUCACUUCCCCUCCUUCUGGUGUUUCUUUAGUUCCCAAAUGAAUGACGUGCAUUGAGUCAUUGUCUCAGCAUCUGCUUCUGGGGGAACCCAAUGAAGACACCAGGUAAAGCCCACCAGGGCAGUUGUCACUAGGAACUGGGUGAUAGGGACAUAGUUCUGGCAGCUGCCUCGCCCAAGCCCUGCCACCAUCAUCAGGGCGCAGAGGCUGGA